rnacentral:rRNA from 1 species
GUAGUCUCGCACAGAUGCAUAUCAAUAAGCGGAGGAAAAGAAACUAACAAGGAUUCCCUUAGUAACGGCGAGUGAAGCGGGAAGAGCUCAAAUUUGAAAUCUUCAAGGUUUUACCUUGACGAAUUGUAGUUUAAAGAAGUGUUUUCUGUUGAAGUUUUGGUAAAAGUUCUUUGGAAUAGGACAUCAUAGAGGGUGAGAAUCCCGUAUUUGACCAUUAUUUUCAGCUGUGUGAUACACUUUCAAAGAGUCGGAUUGUUUGGGAAUGCAGUCCAAAAUGGGUGGUAAAUUUCAUCUAAAGCUAAAUAUUGGCGAGAGACCGAUAGCGAACAAGUACCGAUGAGGGAAAGAUGAAAAGAACUUUGAAAAGAGAGUUAAACAGGUACGUGAAAUUGUCAAAAGGGAAGCGUUUGACACCAGUGUUGUUUUCUCGAAAAUCAAUUAAAAAGAGUUUGAUUUUGUUGUGUAUUGACCUUAACAGCUUGCAUUUCAAUUUUCUUGCUUUUUUUAAUGCACUUUUCGUUUAACAAGUCAACAUCAGUUUCUUUUGUUGUAAAAAGGUCAUUGGAAGGUGGCUUUCUUUUCGGAGAAAGUGUUUAUAGCCUUUGACUCCUGCAAUCGGAGAGACUGAGGUCUGCAGCGUAGAUCCUUCGGGGUUAGAUACAUUUGUGCUAAGUUAUAGCUUUUUAUAGACAACUUGUUGACUAUGAUUAGUCUUGUAGCUUACUCGCUUAUGCUAUUUUACCUACGCUUAGGAUGUUGAGCGCAUGUCUCUCUCU